CUCUCUGAUGGUGGGUGAGGAG
rnacentral:miRNA from 1 species